UACAGAGGGUGCGAGCGUUAAUCGGAGUUACUGGGCGUAAAGGGCGCGUAGGCGGUUUGAUGAGUGUGAUGUGAAAGCCCCGGGCUUAACCUGGGAAGCGCAUCGCAAACGAUUGAACUGGAGUUUAGGAGAGGGUGGUGGAAUUUCCGGUGUAGCGGUGAAAUGCGUAGAGAUCGGAAGGAACGUCGAUGGCGAAGGCAGCCACCUGGCCAGAAACUGACGCUGAGGCGCGAAAGCGUGGGGAGCGAACAGG
rnacentral:rRNA from 1 species